rnacentral:rRNA from 1 species
AGUGAACGCUGGCGGUAGGCCUAACACAUGCAAGUCGAACGGCAGCACAGUAAGAGCUUGCUCUUACGGGUGGCGAGUGGCGGACGGGUGAGGAAUACAUCGGAAUCUACUUUUUCGUGGGGGAUAACGUAGGGAAACUUACGCUAAUACCGCAUACGACCUACGGGUGAAAGCAGGGGAUCUUCGGACCUUGCGCGAUUGAAUGAGCCGAUGUCGGAUUAGCUAGUUGGCGGGGUAAAGGCCCACCAAGGCGACGAUCCGUAGCUGGUCUGAGAGGAUGAUCAGCCACACUGGAACUGAGCCACGGUCCAGACUCCUACGGGAGGCAGCAGUGGGGAAUAUUGGACAAUGGGCGCAAGCCUGAUCCAGCCAUACCGCGUGGGUGAAGAAGGCCUUCGGGUUGUAAAGCCCUUUUGUUGGGAAAGAAAAGCAGCAGGUUAAUACCCCGCUGUUCUGACGGUACCCAAAGAAUAAGCACCGGCCAACUUCGUG